UUGCAUUGUAAAUUUCAUCUUGUGUGGUGAACAUUUUUCCCAUGUCUCUAAAUAGUCUUAAAACAUAUUAAUUGACUGCCUAUUAAAAAAAAUCCUUUGAAGUCUCUGGCUCCCAGAUAAGAAGUGUUGCGCAUGACACCUGUUGCACACAGCCCACCUCCUUGCCUCAGUGACCUAAUGGGGGUGCACCCCUUUUCUGUACACGACCCACUACUGUGCACGGCAUGGCCCCCUACUGUACAUGGCCCACCUCUCUGGCCAGGUGACAUAAUGAGGUGAAACCCUCACUUGUGACUCAUGUGAUUAUGUAUGCCCUAUCACUAAGCCUAUAGAUAACCUCACUUACGACCCUUCCUUUUGCUUGUACCUAAUAAAUACAGACGCUUCUGUGUGUUAGGGGCUGGCCUGUCUCUGACAUGUCUCUGAACAUGUCUCCGUUCGCGGCAUGGCCCCCCGAGUCCAGAUGCUCUUCAUCAGUUCUUCAGUGUCCUGUCUCUUUACUUCUCGGAUCCUGCGCCUCAGCACAGCAUAAGGGACACCCCAAGACCCUGUGGGGCCUUACAUUUCUUUGCCAUAAUGUGAAAUGGCCCUGCAAAGCUGUUCUUUGCGGGGGAAACUUUACAUCUGUAAAGAAUGUCUAUUAACGUAGCUAGAUCUUUUUCUUCCAGACCCUCCCAAUCCUAAAGAGAUUAACUAAAAUCUGAAUAGGAAACAUUUGUCAUCUGUUGUCUCUAAGGGCAGCCACUAUAAGACUUCAAAUAACUUUUCCCACAAUCUUUACCUUAACCUGAACAUUCCCUUCCUACGAAUCCCAGGUCUCUAGACAAACUCAAUCAGUUACCAACCAGAAAAUGUUUAAAUUCACCUAUAGCCUGGAACUGCGCACUGCCCCCCCGCCCCGACCCCUUUGAGUUGUUCCUCCUUUCUGGACCAAACCAAUGUAUUUCUUAAAUGUAUUUGAUUGAUGUGUCAUACCUCUCUAAAAUGCGUAAGACUGGCUGGGCUCGGUGGCUCACGCCUGUAAUCCCAGCACUUUGGGAGGCCCGAGGCAUGCAGAUCACCUGAGGAGGGGAGUUUAAGACUAGCCUGACCAACAUGGAGAAACCCCAUCUCUACUAAAAAUACAAAAUUAGCUGGGCCUGGUGGCGCAUGCCUGUAAUCCCAGCUACUUGGGAGGCUGAGGCAGGAGAAUUGCUUGAACCUGGGAGGCAGAGGUUGCAGUAAGUUGAGAUUGUGCCAUUGCACUCCAGCCUGGGCAACAAGAGCAAAACUCCAUCUCAAUAAAUAAAUAAAUAGUAUAAAACCAAGCUGCACCCUGACCUCCUUGGGCACGUGUUCUCAGGACCUCCUGAGGGCUGUGUGAUGGGGCCAUGGUCACUCAUAUUUGGCUCAGAGUAUAUCUCUUCAAAUAUUUUAGAGUUGGACUCUUCCUUGACAGUGGGAAGGGGAGGAGCAUCAGAACCCAGCAGACAGAUGGGCUUUCCCCUUUCUAACUGCAUGAGGACGCCCGACCUCUCCAGGGGCCUUGUUCCCCUGGGAACUGAUAACAUCACAUCACAGUUUUGUUGAGCAGAUGACACUAAGACCACACGUGUAAGCGCAGCUGGCACACAGUAGACCUUGAACAGGUACCUGUUCCCUUCUCUCGAGAGCCAAGGCCUCUGGAAGAAACGCGUGCAGCUGCAUCUGGUCACCAGCCACUCAGAAGCCCAACCUGCUGUUCUGUAACCAUGCAGCUUACAGAACAGCCACAUGCGGUCCUACUUGUCAGGAUCUCCCUGUUCUUUCGGUUCUGGUGUUUUCCUUUAUUCGCUCCCUCCUACGUCUUGAAGCAGCUCUGCUCUCUGGUUUCCCCAAGCAGAGCUCCUAAGAUCCCCAGACUCCUGCUGGAAGGGAGUUCCUGCCUUGGGUGUGCCUGAGUGUGCUGAGUUGAAAGGCAGUUUGUCUGAGGUGGGGAGCCGUGUGUGCACAACACAGCGAGGGAGUGACCCCGUCCAGGGAGCCGGCUCCCCUUAACAGAGCGAGCGGGGAAAUCAAGACGCAGGCGCUAUCAUAAAUGGUGGCAGUGAUGGCCGAAGGCAGAAGAUAAGCUGGACUCCUGAAAGCGGACACCCCCAGGAAAAUUCCAUCACCCGCCCGGAGGAGCUCUGUAGACUCAGCUGGGGCAGGCCUUCAGCACCCCCUAAACUGGGACUCUCGACUGAGAAGAGAUCCCCUCUGCUACUGGGCCUCCACGAUGCUGGUCUUCUGUAACUUACAGGCCUGGCCUCCAUGCUGCCCCACCUUCAUGCUGGAGAAUCUUUAUUGAUUGCUGCAGACCAACACUAACUUAGGCUGAGCUCCACAUUCCAGCACAUCCCCAGGGCUCUUUUUCUUCCUUUGAGAUAGACGGCUGACUCUGGUCUGUCUUCACUGACGGGUGAGGGCUUCCUGCACUGCUUUGCUUUCCUCUUCAUGAAAGUGUCGACCAGUAGAUCUCACAGUGUGGUCUUUGGACCAAUGGCACCACCAUCACCUGUGAGCUUGUUAGAACGGCAGAAUCUCUGGCUCUAUCCAAACCUGCUGAAUCAGAGACUCUGGAGGUAUAGCUGUGCUAUCCACAUUUUAACAAGUCCUCUGGGGGAUUCACAUGCAUGCUGAAGUCUGAGAACCGCUGGUGUGAUAUACUACCCAGGAGCCCUGAGUAGGACACCUCAUUUAGUUUUCCGAUCCCCACAAGGAGAACUUGUCCAGGCACAUUAUGCUUGUGGCUACAGAGUGUCUUCUCAAGGCAGGCAGGCUGCCUACGUCCCACUCGUCCAGUGUGUAACCCAUCAGCUGACCCGACAGUGCUGAGGCCGGACUGAGAAUCCACCGAAUGCCUCAUGAGCUCUUUUCUUCCAGAAGGUGCAGCAGGAAUCAGAUGGCUGUAGGCAUUGCCAUAGCAACUGUACCCCUCCAAAGUGCUGACGGGCUGCAGGAGCAGAGUAAGCACCGUGUAGUAUCUGCCAGUGGAUGUAGCAUCACCAGCAGAUGAGAGGGGCUGUGGAGGGAAGAGGAAGCUCAGGGUGGCCAGGACUUAUGGACAAGAAUUCAGUGGAGCUGUUGCUUCCUCAAGACCCAUGAUGCAUUUGGUAGUCCUCCAGGGGUCUCCGGCACUGCAAAACAGUGCCAGCCCAGCCUGUGGCCGAAUAGCAGCCUGGCCCACCCAGGAGUCAGUGAUGCUGCAGUCUCUCAAAAGACCGUCUACCUCGGUUAAAUUGGGCGGCUAAGUGGUCACAGAGCAAUUAAGAUGGAAGUGCCCAUCUUUCUUCUGUGAUGACCACCUGUGUUCCUUGCCAGGGCUGAGGAAAGGGACCCAGUUCCAAAUGUCUGAUAGGGAUCUGGGUCCUAAAGCAGAUGCCAAUAGUCACAAAGGAGCUCGGGGCUUAGGUAAUGGUGAGUAUUCUAGCUCUCCAAGAAAUCAACCUUAGCAGGAACCGGUAUCACUAGAGUGCACCUGGUACCUGAAUGCUGGCCCCAGAGCUGAGGACCCGGAGAGUCAGCAGGGACUCGGGCAGAGAAGAGGGCCCCAUGCCCUUGGAAACAGGGAUCCCUGCUUGCCUGGAGGGCCGGGGAGGGGCCAGGGCAAGUGGAACCCCAUGGAAAGUUUGGGGGGACACAGUGCCAACCAGUGGGAAGAUGAGCUAUGGUGGAGAAGAGACAGGUGGAGAGGAAAGGAUGGAAGGAGUGAACACCCGCCUCUUUUAUUUUAUCCUGACUGCUCCUUGCCAGGCUUCCCUGGGACUCCAUCUGUGUGCGGCCAGGAGUUGAUCCACCAGCUCUGCACAGUCCUCCUCAAAGCCAAGGGCAGGGGUCUGCGGAGGUGGGUGGGGGACGCUGGGGAGCCAGCUGUGGGGCUUCUCGCUUCAUUACAGUCGCUGCCCUUUAUAAAUAUUUAUAGCAGUUCUUCUGCUAAAAAUAACAUCCUGGAGCCCAGGGAGGAGGAAAAAAUAAAUGAAAAUCACCGGGAAUGAGACUUGAGGAUCACGUGUGCCCGAGCUGAAUGGACCCCUAAAGCGAGAGGCUGUGAGCAGCGCCCCUGCGGCGCGCCCCCUGGCGGCCACGGAGUCCGCGGCGCAGGGAGUCCCUCCCGCCCUCUCCGAGGAGGCCCAAGCCGAGCUGCCGCACGCGGCGCGGUCUCCGCCCCUCCCUCCCGGGCUGCAAAGCGGAGGGUUCGCUGGGGCUGGCGGAAGCCUAACCAGUGUGAGGCUAUUUUUAGCACCACGGUCAGGGUGUGAAUGUCUACGGAGCCGAGCAGGGCCUGACGCUUUCUUUGCACGAUAGAAUAAACCUGUUGGUUUUUAAAGGGCCAAGGUAAGGAAACUUGUGUCCCCACGUUCGGAAGCACCCCACGUGCUGGCCAGACGCCAGAAAGAGUUCCAUCAGGUCACACACACACACACACAUACACAAGGGCUUGGUGCUUUUUCUUUUCUCUUUUCAACCUCCAGGUAAAUUCCUGAUGCGGAGAUGAGCCCAUGCCCUGAGGGGAGUGAUGAAGGUGCUAGUACAUGCAGGGCUGUGCAGGGGAGGCCCACCAGCUGUGCCGCGCAGCCCCUCCCCGCUUCCCACCGGCUCUGCCUCCCCUCUCCCUGGCGGGUGGAGUGAAGUCUGGCAGCCUGCAAGCCUGGUCCAGGUGUGCGGUGGAAAGAUGGAGAGGAAUGUGCCUCUGGGGAAGACCUUGCCUUCGCCAUGUCGGCGCCAGCUUGCUCCUUGUCCUCUGUGCCUGCGCAAGACACACUCACCGUUAGUCACCUGCACUACCAGGGUUGGGGCAAACGCUGCUAACGUCUGCUGUGAAUGGGAGGCCAUGCGGGGAGGGGUUGCUAGGAUGCUGCGCACCUUUCAGGCGCUGGGGAGAAGGGUGGUACCUAGGGUCCCCUGCCAUCGUUCUGAAGGGUCAGGAAAUGUUUCCGUGGAAGAAAGAACUGGGUUCACAAUGCAAGGUUUGGAAUGCGGUGGUUUCUUGAGGAGAAUUGUGGCCGUGGAGAAGGGCAGGGAGGACUGAGGUGUGCCGAAUAAUGUAUGAUAGGAAAGGGAGGAAGCCUCAGCUCCAGGCCAGCACACCGCAGGCCUGGGCAUCCGGGAAACCAUGGCGCCCGAGUUUUAUGCUUUUAGUGUGACUCUCUGUUGGUGUUUCUCAUCACCCCGAUGUGGGUCAGAGAGGACAGGAUUAGGAGGCAGAAGACCCGCCUCCAAUUCCGCUUCUGGUGUGGGGGUUUGGCUUCCUCCAAGUGCAAUAAGGCGGUGGAGGCACAUGGCUCUGCCACGUUCCCUUGCACCCCAGUUCCUUCUGCCCCGGGGAGAGAGGGGCUCUGGCAGGCUCCUGCAGGGCGAGUCAGUUCCUGAUUUCCCUCCUCGGCUGCCACGGCCUAGGCUUGCUUGGCAGAGGACCUUGCCUGAAUGUGUACAGUGAGUUCAGGGAGAAGCCUCUCUCCAAGACCCAGGGGCACUGUGAUUUCCAGGGCAGCAAGAGAAUGCGCGUGGCCCAGGUGCUGCCCACCCCUCAGCUUGCAUAAUCCUGAAUCAGCACAGGCAGAGGCUGGAGGGGCCCCGGGGGAGCGGGCAGAGCCCUUCAAGGGCCUGGCUCGGAUGGGGACAGAGGGCUGAGAGAGGGCCAGAGGCUAUUCCAGGAUGAUGCAACUUGGGAGGGCCUGAAAAAACUCCUUUUCUGGAUUGUGGGGCUAGGGUCCUGGCUAUUUCACCAGAGGAAGAUGCCUAAUUUUUAAAAAUAAGAAGUGGGGGAGGGAAGAUAAGAUUUUCAAAUGGAGAAGUCUGAUAUCUUGGCCCUGGGACUAGAAAGAGUUAAGGUGUUGAGCUGGAAAAUGGGAAUGACUAAUUCCUAAAGGCAGUGAGCAUCUGCCCCUGGGGCAGCCAGCGCUUUUCUGCAUUGCUUCUUCAGGAAGUGAGAAGGUGCAGCUUGCGGGCACCGAGGGGAGCGGCUGGGUCAGCCUUGUAGUCAUGCCUGAAUCAAGUGUCUGUAGCUCGGGCUGUGACUGGGUGCAGUGCCGGGUGGUAGAAUCCAGGGACACACUGGCUGUGGUGUGGAUCCCAGGAAGGAAGUGGCCAAUGGCUUCGGGAAAGACGCAUGGGAGGCAGUGCUCCCCAGGGAGGUGGCCUUGCUCAGCUUGAUGUUUCAGCCACCGGUGUUGGGUCUGCCAAUGCCAUCCCAACACAGAGGACACCAGGCCCAUGCCCAAGGACCAGGCCUGCAGAUGUGCUGUGCAAGACGGGACACAGCCUAGAAAUAGGGCAAGGCGGGCACAUGGCUGGGCUGGGCAGAGGGAAGGUACAGUCGGGCUCUUUGAAGAAAGUUCUAAUUGCAUCUUCACCUGUUAGGACUGCCCUGGCUUGGGAGCUGUUACUGCAGAAAGGGAGGGGAAGGGAAGAUGCUGAGGAGGGAUGGCGGGACUGUAGGGAGGCAGAGGACUCUCUGUACUCACCUGAGCUUCCUCUGUGUCCGGCUCCUCUGCUAACCUGCGGCAGCAAGGGCAGAAACAACAGACUGAGGUCAUGGCCAGGCUCUUCUCAUGCCCCAGACUGUCUCUAGGGGCUUCCCUGACCCACCCACCCCACAGGCUUCCUGGCUUCUUCCCUGUUUCCUUCACGUUGACUUUUCCCACCCAGGUAUGAUAGCAGGAUAGAGUCCUACUUUCUACAGCUGUAGCCCACAUGAAGGAGCCAUGGAGACAGAUGCUUCUCAGGAGAAGGAAAGCAUUUAAAAAAUGGAACCAAAGCUCCUUCAAUCCAGGGAGCAGUUCCAUUAGCGGGGCAAAACCCACGCAGCUCUGGAAGGUCCCCAAGGGAACAUGACUGCUGUGAUUGAGGGCGAUCUCCUCCUGCAGAUGAUUGCAAGCCUGUGCGCUUGCUCAUCUGAGGCUCCAGCACUGCCUGCCCCUCCCGAGCCUGCUUGGUUCUUGGAGGCCACUGCUGUCCAGACUUGCACCAAGGCUCUUUAUGGAUGCAAAUUGGAUUUAUAGCCCCCCCCACACUGGGAUGGCAGGGUCUGGGAGGGCAGGUUCUCAGGGACACAGGAGCAUAACAUGAGGCUCUGGAGGGGUGGAGAUGUUGUACUAUGAGGGAAGUUGUGUUAGUCUGUGCUUCUGUGCGUCUUGGUUACACUUCUCUGAGGAGGUACAAAGGAGGAAGGGUACUCCGAUGGAGCAGAAGCAUUUUCCCAGGAUGCACCCAGACAGCCCGGAUGAACAGGGAGAGGCGUGAGGCAGGUGUGAAAUAUGGCGGGGAAGUAAAGCUUGGUCCAGAUUCUUCCAAAGUCCCAUUUGACUCUUACGGUUUUCCCAUCGAGCAGACUGUGCUUGCCUGACAGUGCCGACCAAGUUCUGUUUAUAUCAUGUCAGUAUGGUUUCAACCCCAGAGAAGCAAACGCGCGCUCUCUCUCUACAGUGGACGGUUACAGAUCUCUGGUGUCCAGGUGACUGCAGUCAGUUCUAGGUAUGUAAAAUUUCAGGCCUAGCUCAUGGCAGAGAAUCAGAAGGUCCACCAUGAAAACACUUAGUCUUAUAAAAAUGCCCAUGUAAGAACUACAUUGUAGUUUCAAGGACAUAUCCUAGGACCUAAAUAAUGUGGAGAGCCAAACAUAAAAAACACUACCAUCUCUCACCACUGACUCUUAGCACUCUUGGCUUUAGGGAUGACACCAGAAAGUCAUAGAAAUAAAAAUUCAGGCAUUCCCACAAAAAGAUUUCACACAGACAUAGACGUUCUGGUACAUGCACUGAAAGACAGACAAGGAGCUCUAAGGGCAAGAGGCACAGAAAGACAGAAGACGGGGACAGGACAGUGCAGGUGCAAAGACAGCGCUCUGGAGCCUGGAGGGUCCAGGCAAGGGAAUCGUGGUCCGACCCCCAUGUGAGGCGUGGCCCACACUCAGACUGGAACCAGGUAAAGGCUGGAGUUCACGGCCAGGGCCAGGCCUCAGGGGCUGGGGCAGAGUCCUAGGUUUGCUUUGGGGGACUGAAAGAGACUGAGGAGAGGCCAUGGGAAAAAGCCACUGGGGACGGGAGGGGCAGGGGAAGGGAGGCCAGAGAUGCAGCUGUUACAUCUUCAGCCAGGAAUAUUCCACACCAAUGCUGGGAUUUGGGUGGCAUGUGAGUGUGUGCGUGUGUGCGUGUGUUUGGAGCAUGUGUUUACACCAGUGUAAAGUUAUCUGUGUAUCUCUUCACCUCUUGCCCUCCUGCUUUCUUUGUUGUCUGUGUGGGGAAGUCAGUUGUUUGUAUAUAUCUAUGAAGCAUCUCUGGAUGUCUAAAACACUACUGCUCUCUAGUGUGACCUUUUAUUUAUUUUUAGGGACAGGGCUUUGCUCUGUCACCCAGGCUGAAAUGAAGUGGCAUAAUUAUGGCUCACUGCAGCCUUAAACUCCUGGUCUCAAGCAAUCCUCCUGCCUCUGCCUGCCAAGUAGCCAGGACUACAGGUGUUUACUGCCACAUCCGGCUAAUGACUUCUGUUUUGUAGAGAUGGGGUCUUGCUGUGUUGCCUAGGCUGGUCUCAAACUCCUGGUCUCAAGUGAUCUUCCUGCCUCAGCCUCCCAAAGUUCUGGGAUUACAGGCGUGAGCCACCAUGCCCAGCCUAGUCUGACCUUUUGGCGUUCAUGCCAAAUAUGUCAUUCUCAUCAAUUCACUGGCGCUGUUGUCCACUUCCUCCCCCGCCUAGUUCAGACUCACAAGAUGAUUUCAGAAUCUGCAGAAUAUUCUUCCUCAGCAGUUUCAGUGUCCUUGCUGACAAAUUCCUUGCCCCCCUGAGACUCCAAAGACCUCCCUCUCUUAGCCACACCAGCCCCAAUAGGCCAACAACGCUCCAGACCUCUGUCCCAGGGGUUUCCCUUCCUUGUCACAGCUUCCUUACCUGCCUCUCCCUCUUGACUUCUUUCUACCCUUCCUUAGACCACUCCACUUCGCUUUGUCUACUAGUUCUGCUCAGACUAAAGCACGGGCACUGGAGUUAAACUCAGGCUGUGCCAUUAUCACCUGGCAGAUUCUUUCACUCCCCUGAGCCUUGUUCAGAAUUCCUCCGUCAGAGGGCUGGGGCUGGCUCCUCUUCAUCCUUCCUGCCUUCCCUACCUUCACCUCCUUGGGGUGACCAGCCAUUCCAUUUCUCUCCCUUGAUAAGGUACUGUCUCAUCACCCCAUUUAUUUCUAAUUUGUUCAUUAACUGACCUCCUACUAAGUGCCAGGUGCAGUUCUAGGCAGUGGGAACACAACAUGAACAAAACAGACUAAAAUCUCUGCCUGGGGGAGCUAGCAUUUAGGAGGAAUCCAGCAGCCAACAUAUUAACUCAUGGCAGAAAGAACAGCUAACCCUCAAAUGCCCAAAGAGAAUCUUGUUUUCUGUUCAGUAUAACAUAGAAGGAUGAAGAUUAAGAGCAUGAAGUCUGGAGCCAGAAAGACCCAGUUCAAGCCUAAUCUCCGCCUUUUUUUUUUUUUUUUUGAGACAGAGUCUCUCUUUGUUGCCCAGGCAGGAGUGCAGUGGUGCAAUUUCGACUCACUGCAACCUCCACUUCCCAGGUUCAAGGGAUUCUCCUGCCUCAGCCUCCUGAGUAGCUGCAAUUAUAGGCAUGCACCACCAAACCUGGGUAAUUUUUGUAUGUUUAAUAGAGAACAGGGUUUCACCACGUUGGACAGGCUGGUCUCAAACUCUUGGCCUCAGGUGGUCGCCCACCUCGGCCUCCCAGAGUGCUGGGAUUACAGGCGUGAGACACUGCACCUGGCCUAAUGUCUGCCAUUAACAUGAACAUGAGCAGCAUCUCUCUGAGCCUGUCUCCUCAUGGGUGAAAUGGGGAUACUGGAAUCUGUCUCACAGUGUUGUUGAGGAUUAGAUGAUAUCAUCACACAAGAAAAUCAUUCCACGCACAUCUUCCCAGAUGUCAUGUAUGAAACAGGUUUGAUAUAUAAUGAAACUAGGAAGGCAUUACUGUCCUUUGCUGACCACUUCCCUUCUUGCUUUUAUUCUUCCACGAAGGCACAAAACCAUUGGGCUAUUCUGGCCCACAAGAAUCUCUUCCUUUUCAGAAACCCUUUUUAUACUUACAUGUCAGCAUAUAAGUUUUAUGAUUAGCAUUUUUUGCCACUUCAUUUUAUCUCCUAUUUCACAUUUUUAGUUUUGCUUUCUUAACGAUCAUAAACUUCUCCCGUCAAGGGAGUCAUGUUUUAUGUUUUACUUGUAUCUCCUUCCUGUAUUCCAACAACCUAUCCCAGGAUCAGGAAAUCAGGAAGCUUUUGCUGACGGGCUGACAUUACCACCUGGAAGGUGAAACCUGUCAGAUGAGGAAAGUGGGCAGAGGGAACUUGGGUCUGGAAGCUUUGGGAAAGGUGGUGGCAGGAAGGAAUGCAGAAACAAAGUCGGGGGCAGUUCAUCCAUGGGCUCUGGCUCCCCAUUCAAACUAGGAGUCCUGUUGAGCUGCCUUUACCUCUGUCUUUCCCAUUCUGCAUCUUCUCCUCUUCUUCCUCUGCACCUUCCUCUGCUGUGAAAACAAGUCCAAGGAGGCCAGUGACCCUUCAGCACAGUGCAAGUACAGAAGGAGGGGGAACAAAGCAACUGCUGAGGCUCGGGAGGAAACCCUAGCUAAGCUCCUGGCUGCAGGCCCCAAGGGUGCUUCAGCUCCGCAGUCUGCACCUGCGUGGCCCACGCCCAGCAAUGCUGAAUAGGAGCCGGUGAGCCGGGAGCCCACAGGGAGAAGUGCAGUCACAUCACUCAGUUUCCUGACCGGGCAGGGGUGGGGGGUGUGUGUCUCUGUUCUAUGCCUGUCUGUCCUCAGGUGGUGACAACCAGGGAGAUGUCUAAUGUCUUGUAUUCAGGUUUAAGAAAGCAACCAUAAAAUAUAUGGUGGGGAAUACCCAGAUCAAUACCAGUUUCUGUAAAAAAAAAAAAAAAAAAUCCAGAUGUUUUAGUGGAUGAUAAACGUACAAUGACCACACAGUGCAAAGCGCUAUGUGGGAAACGCUAAUGCUGUCUAAGGUGCUUUUCCAGGAGCCCACUCAAGAGUUUCACAGAUGCCCUGUGGUCUGCAGGGAAAGGAGCCCCCGUGAUGGACAGCAGGGUGCCCAGCCCUGGGUGUGCACUUUACAUAGGGGCCUUGGAAAAUGGCCACAUCCUGGUGUGGUCAAGCAGGCUGGGAAGAGUAAACCAUGUCAUGGUUGGGAAGGCUGAAGAAUUGGGUGUAGCUGUCUAAAGAGAAGACUAGGGAGGGUCAUGUCAUCUGCCAUCCAACCCAUGAAAGGCCAGCCUGCAGAGGAGGCACUAGGCUCAUCCUGGGUAGCUUUAGAGGAGGGAACAGGGAUAAAUCAGUUACAGAAAGGCAGAUUUUGGCUCCCCACUAAGAAAGAACUUUCCAGUGACUAGAGUUGGUCAUGAAUGAGCUCGCUGGAAAUACUCAGAGAACUGUUGUACUGGGUCAAGUUGGAUUAAAUGACUUCUAAGAUCCUGUCCAAUUCUUUGUUUUUUUUUUUGAGAUGGAGUUUUGCUCUUGUCACCCAGGCUGGAGUGCUCAUUGGAACCUCCACAUCCUGAAUUCAAGCGAUUCUCCUGUCUCAGCCUCCUGAGUAGUUGGGAUUACAGGCUCCCACCACCACACCUGGCUAAUUUUGUAUUUUUAGUAGAGAUGGGGUUUCACCAUGUUGGUCAGGAUGGUCUCGAACUCCUGACCUUAGGUGAUCAGACCCACCUCGGCCUCCCAGUGCUGGGAUUAUAGGUAAGCCACCAUGCUGGCCUUGAUCCUUUCCAAUGCUAGGAUUCCAUUAUAAAAAAUUUAUAAAUAUGAGGAGUACAAGCUAUGUAUAUAUACUGUGUAUACACUGUAUAGAAUAUAAGUAAAGAUAAUCUUAAUAUGUCCUCUCAUUGGAACAAAAACCUGUAGUCACAGUCAAGAAGACAGUAAAGACGUGCUGGUGUUGGGCGAA